rnacentral:rRNA from 1 species
GGAGGGUCAUUGGAAACUGGGGAACUUGAGUGCAGAAGAGGAGAGUGGAAUUCCACGUGUAGCGGUGAAAUGCGUAGAGAUGUGGAGGAACACCAGUGGCGAAGGCGACUCUCUGGUCUGUAACUGACGCUGAGGAGCGAAAGCGUGGGGAGCGAACAGGAUUAGAUACCCUGGUAGUCCACGCCGUAAACGAUGAGUGCUAAGUGUUAGGGGGUUUCCGCCCCUUAGUGCUGCAGCUAACGCAUUAAGCACUCCGCCUGGGGAGUACGGUCGCAAGACUGAAACUCAAAGGAAUUGACGGGGGCCCGCACAAGCGGUGGAGCAUGUGGUUUAAUUCGAAGCAACGCGAAGAACCUUACCAGGUCUUGACAUCCUCUGACAAUCCUAGAGAUAGGACGUCCCCUUCGGGGGCAGAGUGACAGGUGGUGCAUGGUUGUCGUCAGCUCGUGUCGUGAGAUGUUGGGUUAAGUCCCGCAACGAGCGCAACCCUUGAUCUUAGUUGCCAGCAUUCAGUUGGGCACUCUAAGGUGACUGCCGGUGACAAACCGGAGGAAGGUGGGGAUGACGUCAAAUCAUCAUGCCCCUUAUGACCUGGGCUACACACGUGCUACAAUGGACAGAACAAAGGGCAGCGAAACCGCGAGGUUAAGCCAAUCCCACAAAUCUGUUCUCAGUUCGGAUCGCAGUCUGCAACUCGACUGCGUGAAGCUGGAAUCGCUAGUAAUCGCGGAUCAGCAUGCCGCGGUGAAUACGUU